rnacentral:lncRNA from 10 species
ACUCCGUGGGCGUAGGACCCUCCAAGCCAGGUGCGAUAUAAUGUCGUGGUGCGCCGUUUUUUAAGCUGGUUGGAAAAGCGCAGUAUUCGCGUGGGAGUGACCCGAUUUUCCAGUGAGAUGAACCCGGUACCUCAGAUUGAAAUGCAGAAAUCACCCGUCUUCUGCGUCGCUCACGCUGGGAGCUGUAGACCGGAGCUGUUCCUAUUCGGCCAUCUUGGCUCCUCCCUCAGUUCUGGAGACUGGGACAUCCAAGGUCAAUGUGCUGGCAGAUUCAAUGUCUCAGAUGGUAAUCCAAUGUAUAAGCAAUGGACUGUUUUAUUCUUGGUGCUUUCAAGACCUGAUGCUUUGUUUUGAACAGGUUGAUACAUCUAGGAGUGAAAUACAUCACCGCUUUCCCUGCUCCCGCCGCCAUUAAAAUUGUGUUUGGCAUCUGACCACCAAGAUACAGAUAUUUCCUAGACUGUUUUGCAGCUAGGUACUUAGAUAGUAAUGAAGAUAGGGGCCACCAUUCCCUGUGAAAAUCAAGUGGGAAAGUCCUGAGUCCUUUAAUGACUUUACAGAGGACAGAAUAAACUCCUAUCAUAUUCAUGGAAGUUUUUCUAAGUUAUUUAAACUUCUCACCACACAAAAUCUGGAUUUGUAUCUGUCACGUAGUAAUUGCUUGAUAAAGGACUGUGCCCUGCAUUCUCAGCUGCCUCAGCAUUCCCUAACUCCUCUGCAUUUCUCUUUCCUCUGGAGAAAAAUAUCUGCUUUCUUUAAAAUAAAUGUUCCAUCCAUGCAGCUAAGCAGCUAAGGACACGAACAGCCACUGAUACAGGCCAACUCAUCAGUAGAUUAUUGAGGAAUCAUUCUCUUCAGUCAGAUCACGAUUUGAGUUUGAACUAACCAGAGAGUAGCAGAAGGAACGUUUUCUCAUUUCCAUGUCCAGAAAGAUAUAUUCCUGCUACCCUCCUGAAGUCAGAGGAUGAAAUCAUAGUCAAUACAUCUUUGCAGAUGAUUUCAUACUAGGACCUUUCAUUGGCUGAACAAAGACAAAGACAGAAAUCAAGGAAGGUCAAAGAAGCAGUCAGUUUUCUGGCACCCAAAGUUGUUGGAGAAGGGUACAGAGUCGGUAAAUAAGUCAUAUGACAGACAGGCAGUAUUU